rnacentral:rRNA from 1 species
UACGUAGGGGGCUAGCGUUGUCCGGAAUCAUUGGGCGUAAAGAGCGUGUAGGCGGCCCGGUAAGUCCGCUGUGAAAGUCGGGGGCUCAACCCUCGAAUGCCGGUGGAUACUGUCGGGCUAGAGUGCGGAAGAGGCGAGUGGAAUUCCUGGUGUAGCGGUGAAAUGCGCAGAUAUCAGGAGGAACACCAAUUGCGAAGGCAGCUCGCUGGGACGUAACUGACGCUGAGACGCGAAAGCGUGGGGAGCGAACCGG